CUGUGCUUCUUCAAAUAUUGUUUGGGAAAUUCUAAGGAAUUUUAAGGGGGCAACACACUUUGGUUUGGAGGUUAAAAGCCUUCCUUCCUUUCGCAUGCUUGCCUGCUUAGUGAAUGGCACUGAUGUCUUGCACUAGGUUUUGACCCCUCAGUGCCUGAUCCAGUUCUGGACAUGGCAGGAGAAUAUGUGUAGACUCAGAGCCACUGGGGAAACCCAGAGGCUGAUAUGUCACUGAAGCCUGGGGCAGCUUCCUCUAGAGCCCAGCUCUGUGUGCCCAGCAUGCACAUGUCAGCUUGGACCAGGACUCUUGUUUUGACAAAUGUACUGGUUUGGAGCAAAGAGAAGAAUGAGGAGGCCCAGGCGCCUGCUUAGGGCAGGUGGUGUGCUGACAGAGGGAAAGGAGAAAAACAGCUCUCAACUCUAUUGUUCUGCUCCUAUAUUUUCAUCAAGGAGAACUAUCUUCAUGCCCAAAUGAGGAGAACCAAGGUGAUCGAGAAAUAACCCAGCUCAGACUUCAAGGAGGGAGAUGAAGACGGCCUCAAGUGACUUUGACAAGGUCAAUUGAUGUUAUGUCCUCUGCUGAAAAGAGUGCCCAAAUCCAGACAGACUUUGGAACUGUUCUGGCCCUCCGCAGAUGGACUGUGUCCAGAGAGCUUCUUAACCUCCCAUUGCUCCAUACUCCUGAGCAGCACUCCUCUAAGUCAGGAGACCAGUGCCUCAUAUGUGAACAAUAUUAACUCUCUUAGUGUAGAUACUGUGAAUACAGUCUAAAAUGGCCCUCAGUUGUUGUUUUUUUUUCUUGGGGGGGGGGGUGGUUUC